GUAUCUGAAACCUGACGAGGAUGAGAACCUCCGGGGGCAAGAGGUUCGACUCGAGCGAAGCGAGAGAACGUUGCGUCAGCAACGGCCCGCAGUGGCAAGUCAUCCUCUGUCACCGGCAG
rnacentral:sRNA from 6 species